UGACAUCACACCAACACCCUUUGUACCAUUUGGAGUUUUGCAGCUAGGGUGUGCUGCUGGAGUCAUGGUUACUGCUUCUCAUAAUCCCAAGGAUGAUAUGGUUAUAAAGUAUACUUGGUUCUUUGAAUAGAUCAUCUCGCCUCAUGAUAAAGGAAUUCAGAAGAGCAUUGAGGAAAAUCUUGAACCUUGGCCCUCAUCUUGGAACACUGCAGUCCUCAGUACAAGUCCACUCCGUAAAGAUCCUCUAGAUGAAAUGAA